GUGCUCAGUUUUGGCAGCACACAUGCUAAGAGUGGAAUAGUACAGAGGUUAGCAUAGCCCCUGCAAUGACAAGCAAAUCUGGAGGUAACCCAUGUUUUU
ensembl:snRNA U6 U6 spliceosomal RNA